CUACGGGCGGCUGCAGUGGGGAAUAUUGGACAAUGGGGGAAACCCUGAUCCAGCAAUGCCGCGUGUGUGAAGAAGGCCUGCGGGUUGUAAAGCACUUUCGGUUGGGAGGACUGCUUCUAGCACUAAUAUUGUUGGAAGUUGACGUUACCUUCAGAAGAAGCACCGGCUAACUCCGUGCCAGCAGGCCGCGGUAAUACGGAGGGUGCAAGCGUUAAUCGGAAUUACUGGGCGUAAAGCGCGCGUAGGCGGCUAGAUCAGUCGGGUGUGAAAGCCCCGGGCUUAACCUGGGAACUGCAUCCGAUACUGUCUAGCUUGAGUACAGGAGAGGAGAGUGGAAUUCCACAUGUAGCGGUGAUAUGCGUAGAUAUGUGGAGGAACACCAAUGGCGAAGGCAGCUCUCUGGCCUGAUACUGACGCUGAGGUGCGAAAGCGUGGGGAGCAAACAGGAUUAGAUACCCUAGUAGUC
rnacentral:rRNA from 1 species